rnacentral:rRNA from 1 species
AAGUAUGAGAAGGGCAUCUGGUGGAUGCCUUGGCGCAUAGAGGCGAUGAAGGACGUGUUAGGCUGCGUUAAGCCCGGAGGAGCUGCCAAAAAGCUUUGAUCCCGGGAUGUCCGAAUGGGGAAACCCACCCUUAGGGGUAUCUGCAUCUGAAUACAUAGGGUGUGGAGGCAAACGCGGGGAAUUGAAACAUCUUAGUACCCGUAGGAAAGGAAAUCGAAGAGACUCCGUUAGUAGUGGCGAGCGAACGCGGACCAGGCCAGUGGCUUGUAUGUAGUAACCGGAACCGUCUGGAAAGUCGGGCAUUAUUGGGUGAUAGCCCCGUACGGAUACAGCUGCAUACAGGUCCUUGAGUAGGGCGGAACACGUGAAAUUCUGUCUGAACAUGGGGCGACCACGCUCCAAGCCUAAGUACUCCUAUGCGACCGAUAGUGAACCAGUACCGUGAGGGAAAGGUGAAAAGCACCCCGAUGAGGGGAGUGAAAUAGUUCCUGAAACCGGAUGUCUACAAGCAGUGGAAGCUCGAAAGAGCGACCGCGUACCUUUUGUAUAAUGGGUCAGCGACUUAAUCUAGCGAGCGAGCUUAAGCCGAUAGGUGUAGGCGUAGCGAAAGCGAGUCUUAAAAGGGCGACUGAGUUCGUUGGAUUAGACCCGAAGCCGAGUGAUCUAGCCAUGGGCAGGUUGAAGGUGCGGUAACACGCCCUGGAGGACCGAACCCACGUCUGUUGAAAAAGACGGGGAUGACCUGUGGCUAGGGGUGAAAGGCCAAUCAAACUCGGCAAUAGCUGGUUCUCCGCGAAAGCUAUUUAGGUAGCGCGUCUAGUCUCACCUUCGGGGGUAGAGCACUGGAUGGGGAAGGGGGGCGCGAGCCUUACCGACUCUAACCAAACUCCGAAUACCGAAGAGUGCAAUCUAGGCAGACAGACGGCGGGUGCUAAGGUCCGUCGUCAAAAGGGAAACAGCCCUGACCGCCAGCUAAGGUCCCCAAGUUAUAGCUAAGUGGGAAAGGAUGUGAGGAGGCCAAGACAACCAGGACGUUGGCUUAGAAGCAGCCAUCGUUUAAAGAAAGCGUAAUAGCUCACUGGUCUAAAUAAGCCGCCUUGCGCCGAAGAUGUACCGGGGCUCAAGCUAUACACCGAAGCUGCGGGUUCGAUCUUUGAUCGAGCGGUAGCGGAGCGUUCCGUAGGUCUGUGAAGGGAUACCCGUGAGGGGUCCUGGAGAUAUCGGAAGUGCGAAUGCUGACAUGAGUAGCGAUAAAGAGUGUGAGAAACACUCUCGCCGUAAGCCCAAGGGUUCCUGCGCAAGGCUAAUCCGCGCAGGGUGAGCCGGCCCCUAAGCCGAGGCCGAAAGGCGUAGGCGAUGGGAAUCUGGUUAAUAUUCCAGAGCCUCUCGGGAUGUGACGGAUCGUAGACGUUGUUCGACCUUAUCGGAUUGGUCGGGCUGCCAAGCGGUCCCUGGAAAUAGCCCCGAGAAUAGACCGUACCCCAAACCGACACAGGUGGGCUGGUAGAGUAUACCAAGGCGCUUGAGAGAACCACGUUGAAGGAACUCGGCAAAAUCCCCCCGUAACUUCGGGAGAAGGGGGCCCUUGCAGGAGGCAACUCUUGUGAGGGGGCACAGAAAUGAGGGUGGCGACUGUUUACUAAAAACACAGGGCUCUGCGAAGUCGUAAGACGACGUAUAGGGUCUGACGCCUGCCCGGUGCCGGAAGGUUAAGAGGAGGUGUGCAAGCGCCGAAUUGAAGCCCCGGUAAACGGCGGCCGUAACUAUAACGGUCCUAAGGUAGCGAAAUUCCUUGUCGGGUAAGUUCCGACCUGCACGAAUGGCGUAACGACUGCCCUACUGUCUCCAACGUGGACUCAGCGAAAUUGAACUCUCCGUGAAGAUGCGGAGUUCCCGCGGUCAGACGGAAAGACCCCGUGAACCUUUACUAUAGCUUCGCAGUGGCAACAGGACCAUCAUGUGUAGGAUAGGCGGGAGACGUUGAAGCAGGGACGCCAGUUCUUGUGGAGUCAUCCUUGAAAUACCGCCCUUGAUGCUCUUGUUGUCUAACCGCGGCCCGUGAAACCGGGUCCGGGACCCUGCGUGGUGGGUAGUUUGACUGGGGCGGUCGCCUCCCAAAGAGUAACGGAGGCGCGCGAAGGUGAGCUCAGAGCGGUCGGAAAUCGCUCGUUGAGUGCAAGGGCAUAAGCUCGCCUGACUGUGACACCGACAGGUGGAACAGAGACGAAAGUCGGUCCUAGUGAUCCGGUGGUCCCGCGUGGAAGGGCCAUCGCUCAACGGAUAAAAGGUACUCCGGGGAUAACAGGCUGAUACCCCCCAAGAGUCCACAUCGACGGGGGUGUUUGGCACCUCGAUGUCGGCUCAUCUCAUCCUGGGGCUGGAGCAGGUCCCAAGGGUAUGGCUGUUCGCCAUUUAAAGAGGUACGUGAGCUGGGUUUAGAACGUCGUGAGACAGUUCGGUCCCUAUCUGCCGUGGGUGUUCGAGACUUGAGAGGAUCUGUCCCUAGUACGAGAGGACCGGGAUGGACAUACCUCUGGUGGAGCGGUUGUCACGCCAGUGGCACUGCCGCGUAGCUAUGUAUGGACUGGAUAACCGCUGAAGGCAUCUAAGCGGGAAACCAACCUCAAAACCAGGUCUCGCCUGAGAGCCGUAGUAGACCACUACGUCGAUAGGCCGGGUGUGGAAGUGCAGUAAUGCAUGAAGCUUACCGGUACUAAUUGCUCGAUAGGCUUCCAAGCCUCCCU